UGGCUGAAUAUUAAUGAUGAAACAAAUGACAUCUGUAAGUAUCUAUGUUAAAUAAAGAGUCAACAAUGUGCAUGUAUAACGAUAAAUAAAAAUAGGAUGACAAAUGGCAUCACAGGAUCGGCAUACUUAUCACAAGGGAGGAUUGUGCAUGCUGUAUGUGAGUGCGCUGAAAUUGGCAUGCAUGUGGACUGUGUGUUCUAUGGACUUUUAGUGCAGCCUAGUGUAUACUCCAUGGAAUGAGUCUGAGACUAAAAAUCGGUAUCAUUCGUGUUCUUAAAGGAGGACUAUUUGGUCCUGUGAAAAGGAUGGAUUCAGUUUUGUUAAUAAACAUAUAGGAAUGUUGAAAUAUAAUGCAUCAGCCAUAUAUUCACAUUCUAAUAAGGUAUUUAGGUAUUGCAUGUAUCAGUAAAAAUACAACUUGGCUAUCAGGUGCCUGUAAUUAGAAUACCCAUGUUUUGAUUAGGAAGGAGAUGACAAGAGGAAGUAGGCAUAACCAGGUGCAGCUAAUGUGAAGAUAUUUUUGAAUUGGUAGCAGAGGCUUUAUAAAAUUUGUAGAUCAUAUUUGUGCUGUGAUAUAAUAAUUCAGGGCAUAAUUUUCAGAGGCUAUAUUUACAAAAUUUAUAUUAUAGCAGAGGCAUAAUUUUCAAAACCUCUAUGCUACCCCAAAGCAUACAUGAAAAUUUCCCAUCAAAACCUCUAUGGUAACCCAACCAUUCUUCUUGCAACAGGGGCACCUAUUAUGAUAUAUCAAAUUUGCAAAACCAUGAGCCGUAUAUAUUAUGCAGUGACCACAAUUAAUACUCAAUUGAAGAUGCUACAAAAAGGAAAGUAAAAACACACAUAAAAUUUUCCCAUGACUUAAAUGGUCCCAUACUUUUUUAUCCAUCAAAAAAAUGCCAAAUAUCUUACUUUUGCGGAUGACAACUGCAGCUUCUCGUUAGGAUAGUAGUUGCUUUGAAUUUUUU
rnacentral:lncRNA from 1 species